rnacentral:rRNA from 1 species
GAUGAACGCUGGCGGCGUGCCUAAUACAUGCAAGUCGAGCGAACAGACGAGGAGCUUGCGCCUCGGACGUUAGCGGCGGACGGGUGUGUAACACGUGGAUAACCUACCUAUAAGAGUGGGAUAAUUUCGGGAAACCGGAUCUAAUACCGGAGAAGAUAUUGAACCGCAGGGGGGAAUAGUAAAAUACGGUUUUGCGGGCACUUCUAGAUGGAUCCCCGCCGCUUUAGCUGGUUGGUAAGGUAACGGCUUACGAAGGGAACGAUGCGUAGCCGACCUGAGGGGCUGAUCGGCCACCCUGGAACGGAGCCACGGUCCAGACUCCUACGGGACGCCGCAGUCGGGAAUCUUCCGCAAUGGGCGAAAGCCUGACGCAACAACGCCGCGUGAGUGGUGAAGGUCUUCGGAUCGUAAAACUCUGUUAUUAGGGAAGAACAAAUGUGUAAGUAACUAUGCACGUCUUGACGGUACCUAAUAAGAAAGCCCCGGCUAACUACGUG